rnacentral:rRNA from 1 species
CAGUAGCCGCGGUAAAACGUAGGGUGCAAGCGUUAAUCGGAAUUACUGGGCGUAAAGCGUGCGCAGGCGGUUGUGUAAGACAGGUGUGAAAUCCCCGGGCUUAACCUGGGAACUGCGCUUGUGACUGCACAGCUAGAGUAUGGCAGAGGGGGGUGGAAUUCCACGUGUAGCAGUGAAAUGCGUAGAGAUGUGGAGGAAUACCGAUGGCGAAGGCAGCCCCCUGGGCCAAUACUGACGCUCAUGCACGAAAGCGUGGGGAGCAAACAGGAUUAGAUACCCCCGUAGUCCCUGUCUCUUAUAC